UACGUAGGGUGCAAGCGUUAAUCGGAAUUACUGGGCGUAAAGCGUGCGCAGGCGGUUUUGUAAGUCUGACGUGAAAUCCCCGGGCUCAACCUGGGAAUUGCGUUGGAGACUGCAAGGCUAGAAUCUGGCAGAGGGGGGUAGAAUUCCACGUGUAGCAGUGAAAUGCGUAGAGAUGUGGAGGAACACCGAUGGCGAAGGCAGCCCCCUGGGUCAAG
rnacentral:rRNA from 1 species